rnacentral:rRNA from 1 species
UACGAAGGGGGCUAGCGUUGUUCGGAAUCACUGGGCGUAAAGCGCACGUAGGCGGACAUUUAAGUCAGGGGUGAAAUCCCGGGGCUCAACCCUGGAACUGCCUUUGAUACUGGGUGUCUUGGAGUCCGGGAGAGGUGAGUGGAACUGCGAGUGUAGAGGUGAAAUUCGUAGAUAUUCGCAAGAACACCAGUGGCGAAGGCGGCUCACUGGCCCGUUACCGACGCUCAGGCGCGACAGCGUGGGGAUCAAACAGG